CUUAAACACAUGAUACAAUAAAUAGUGAUUAACAAUAAGCUUUGCCCUUCAUUAAACAUAUAAAAGUUUUAUACAAUAAGUAUUCCAAAAACUAUUACAUCAAAUGAGUGGCUUUGUGGGCAUACUUCCAACAGCUUUGUGGGCAUACUUCCAACAAUUGAUAUGUCGAAGGGUCAUAGCCCCCGAGCCUCGAUUGAUGGCGCUCGUCCUCAGGAUAGGUCUCAGCUAUAUGCGAAAUAACUGAAUAAACGUUAUUUAAAGCACACAUACAAAACUAGAAAAUAACUUCCCAUACAAAGCUCAAAUGGGUAUUUGAAUAUACCAUCAUAACCUACUCAACCUUAGGAACAUCCCUAAAUUUUUAGAAAAAUUUUCCGACCACCCACGCCCCGGCCAAGUCACAGCCAGACGCGCCCCCACGCGCGGCCAAACCCUAAAUGAAACUUAUUUGCCGUUAAGAAUAUUCCGUUAAAACCUUAACAGAAAUUAAUGGCGUUACCUAAUGCCGUUAGAAUAUUCUGUCAGACUUGACGAAAUAUUCCCCUUCGUCUUCCUUGGAUCGCCGGAGAUCGUUGUCGGCGUCGGUUUCUGGAAAAAUAAUCAAACCUUCAUAUCUUCUUCGAUUUUCAACCAAAAUUCACAAAAUUUAUACCAAAUUGAAUCUUAGGAUGAGAGGAACAAAACCUUACUACUUUCAAGCCUUGAAAUGCACGGGAUUUCGCCGGAGGAACCUCGAUAAUCCGACCAAACUUGAAACUUGCCAAACUCGACUUCCCGAUGUCCAAAACACUUCGUUUUUCUUCUCCAACCUUCACGAAGACAUCCUAAAGCUCACCAGCAGUUUAAAACCUCCUAAAAAUUUCACAUUCACGAUCACAUGAAUAGUGUAUCAAAACUGGGAUUUUUGGUCCUCGGAAAAACAAGAUUUUCACGUCAAAUUAAGGGCAUGGAUGACCACCUAGACUCACGAGGAACACAAAAACAACCACCUCGACGUUGAUCCGUGAAGAUAGGGUUUGGUUUGGAUACUAUUGAUAGGAGCAUAUUUAUGCGACUUAGUUAGCUUGUUAUUGUGCAUUUAUGUUGUUAUUUCUUAGUCAAUUAUGUAUUUUAAGCUAUUUUCGUGUGUUUGUAGGUUCAAAUAACAAAGUUAGCAACAAAGUGCUAUUUGGAGCAUUUUGGAGCAUUUUUGGGCCAAUAUUGGAUAGGGCAAGCAUGGAGACAUGAGGAUGGACGUUUUUUAAGAGAUUUGAAGGCUAGAAAUCAGCAUGUGUGUUGACCUACAACUCCAAAAAUCCAUCCACUACACCCAUUACAUCCACUCAUUACCAAACACUCAUCCACUACACCCAUUAUAUCCACUCAUUACCAAACAUCUAUCCACUACACCCAUUACAUCCACUCAUUACCAAACACUCAUCCACUACACCCAUUACAUCCACUCAUUACCAAACACUCACCCACUACACCCAUUACAUCCAAUCAUUACCAAACAUCCAUCCACUACACCCAUUACAUCCACUCAUUACCAAACACUCACCCAUUACAUCCACCCCCAUUACAUCCACUCAUUACCAAACAUCCAUCCACUACACCCAUUACAUCCACUCAUUACCAUAACAUACACCACUACCACCUUAAUUAGAUGGUUGUCCUCUCCCUAGCCUAUAAAUACAUCCACCCUUCACCAUAACAAAGGGAGGAAGGAGGGAGGCGAAAAGAUCCGUCCAAAGACACUACAUUCACAUCUCACAACUUCAUACACUUACACUUUCAUUCCUUGGACGUGAGCACCAUCCAUUCCUCCAUACAACCAACCCUUCAAACACUCACCAACACCUUGUACCGUAGCAAAGGAAGGGAAGGAAAGUGCUUGGACGUGCUUGCUGUCCAACUUGGAUCGUUGAAGCGUUUAGGUGUUUUCUUUCUUUUGUUUUCAAUGUCUAAAUUUGUUUAUCUUUGCUUUGUAAUUAUGACGAACUAAACCCCCCUUAGCUAGGGGGGAAUUCGAAACCAUGUUCACGCUUGCAAUAUGAUUUGAUUACCUUCAGUUGUGAUUUCAUAAGUUGUGAAUUCAAUUUGUUUAACUGCUUGAUUGAUAACUUAUUCAUGUAUGUUUAUUAAGAGUGCACACUUAGUUUGCAUGCAUGAAUAUGAUGCUAGAGUAUAAGGGAGUUUCACCUAAUAGUUACAAACUUAGAUUCACAAGUAGUGGAGGUCGCUUAUAAACGAUCGCGUUUAAUAAAUUCUUGGCAAGAGUUUCAUGCUCAUCAUAGUAACGAAUGCCUUGUCAAUACUUAUAGUUUUCAUAAUGCUUAAUGAUCUUUGAUUGUAUCUUUAUUGUGUUGUUCACGUAAAGAACUUUUGAAGAAUGCUUGAAUUGUUGUAUGCGCUUUCCCAUCCAAUUCAAUAACUUAAGGAGAACUUGAAGGUUAAUUUAAGCGGACUUAAUUAACCUGGGGUAUUGAGUUUCAUGAUUGAUCGAAAGAACAACUGAAAAUUGGUUUAUGUGCAAGUAUGUCAUGUGUGGAGAAGAACCUCCUAGCUAGCCUUCCGUCCAUUCAAUUUACUCAAAUUCGUGCAGAUUUCAUUAGUUCUUUAAUUUAUUUGUUUUGUUUUCAAAUUCGUCAAAAUCCAAUCCCCCUUUACUUUAAAGUGUUUUAUUAGUUAAAAUCUGUUUUGAUUUGUGUUUUUAAGUGUCUUGAGUCAAGUUAGAACCUAAUUUCGUCCAAACCCAUCCCUAGAGUCAGUUUAGAGUCUAAUGCAUUGUUUUAAGCUGGUUUGAGUCUUUUAAACUAGUUUUGAGUCUUUUUAGUUUGUAUUGCAUCUUUUGAGUCUAGUUUGGUGUUUUAAACUUAAUUCUACAUUUUUAAGUCAGUUUCAGGUGUUUUAGCAAUCCCUCCUAAUCCUCGGCCUAGAACGAUCCCUACUUACAUUCUUUACUACAAUUGACAACAAGAGGGUUUAAUUUGUGUGUUAAGUUAAUUUUCGCAUCAAAUUUUUGGCGCUGUUGCCGGGGAUUAGCAACUUUGCUAAUCCCCUGUUGUUUCUUUUUCAUGUUUUUUGUUUUAGUUACUAACUUUGUUUCUAUUUGUGUCUUUUAUUUUUACUUAUGAUAUUUGAUUUAGUUUUGUUUCUUUGAUUUCAGGUCCUAGAUAAGUAAGACAUGGAUUUUGCUACCAUUCAAGCUCAAUUGGCGAAACUUACUUCUCAAUUGUCACAAUAUCCCAAAAGGACCACAAUCCAAAGUGUCCCUACAUAUGGUGUGUCCUAUGGGCAAGGAUAUCCAACUCAUCAAUGUUCUCAAUUCGCUACGAAUGAAGAUGCUUGAGGUUAUCAAGGCCAUACCCAAUCAUGGGACAACAUGUUUUCCAACGCUUACAAUUCGGAUUGGAGAGAUUAUUCAGAUUACAUGUGGGGAGAACCUCAACAAUUCCAACAAGAUAGAUAUUGGCAGCAAGAAGAGGAGUUCUAUUCAAGACCUAUGCAGCCACCACAACCUCCUCCACAACAAUUCCAAUCAAAUUCAAGUAUGCCUAUGAGUUAUGAUGAAAUUCUUGAUGUACUAACCUCGUUGACGCAGGGCUCACAACAAGAAGAAUAUUUGCCGCCAUUGGAUGAGUUCUAUCACUGGCCAUAUGAACCAUCACAGCCACCACAACAAUCUGCCCAAUUCAAUUCAGGUAUGUCUUUGGAUAAUGAUAUGUUUAAUAAGUUACUCACCUCUUUGAACCAGGAAGUAGAAAAUCGAAACAAAGAGAUGCAAAAUCAAGCCAAGAAGAUUGGUGAAUUAGACAAGCAAAUUGGGCAGAUUAUGAAGUUCAUAGCACAAAUUCAAGAGCAAAGUGAACUCUCCAACUCAACUAUAGAAAAUUUGAAGGAAGAUUUUGAAAUCCAUGAUGCUAUCACUUUGGGAAGUGCUAUGGAGGUUGGAGAUGAACCCAAGACAUCCAAACCAAGCCAAAACAUGGAUGAACAGCUGCUGCUCGAAGAAGUGGAGAAUAACAAGGCCACGGCAAGGGAAGAACCACCCUUGCCACAACCCCAUAUGCCCUCUAUGCCAUCCACUACAACCAAGGUAAGCUUAAAUUCAAUUUGUCCUGACCCCGUUUCACCAAAUGUCCUUAUUCCUUGCAGGAUCAU
rnacentral:lncRNA from 1 species